UGCCAGCCGCAGCGGUAAUACGGAGGGGGUUAGCGUUGUUCGGAAUUACUGGGCGUAAAGCGCGUGUAGGCGGUUCGUUAAGUCUGAUGUGAAAGCCCGGGGCUCAACCCCGGAAGUGCAUUGGAAACUGGCGAACUUGAGUACGGGAGAGGAAAGUGGAAUUCCGAGUGUAGGGGUGAAAUCCGUAGAUAUUCGGAGGAACACCAGUGGCGAAGGCGGCUCACUGGCUCGAUACUGACGCUGAGGUGCGAAAGUGUGGGGAGCAAACAGGAUUAGAUA
rnacentral:rRNA from 1 species